AGGAUGAACGCUGGCGGUCUGCUUAACACAUGCAAGUCGAACGGGCGUAGCAAUACGUUAGUGGCGGACGGGUGAGUAACGCGUGAGAAUCUACCUUCAGGACGGAGACAACAGUUGGAAACGACUGCUAACCCCCGAUGUACCGAAAGGGCAAAUAUUUAUAGCCUGAAGAAGAGCUCGCGUCCGAUUAGCUAGUUGGAGAGGUAAAAGCUCACCAAGGCGACGAUCGGUAGCUGGUCUGAGAGGACGAUCAGCCACACUGGGACUGAGACACGGCCCAGACUCCUACGGGAGGCAGCAGUGGGGAAUUUUCCGCAAUGGGCGAAAGCCUGACGGAGCAAGACCGCGUGGGGGAAGAAGGCUCUUGGGUUGUAAACCCCUUUUCUCUGGGAAGAACGCAAUGACGGUACCAGAGGAAUCAGCAUCGGCUAACUCCGUGCCAGCAGCCGC
rnacentral:rRNA from 1 species